rnacentral:rRNA from 1 species
AUUGAACGCUGGCGGCAUGCCUUACACAUGCAAGUCGAACGGCAGCAUGGAGAGCUUGCUCUCUGAUGGCGAGUGGCGAACGGGUGAGUAAAGCAUCGGAACGUACCGUGUAGUGGGGGAUAACGUAGCGAAAGUUACGCUAAUACCGCAUACGCACUGAGGUGGAAAGCAGGGGAUCGUAAGACCUUGCGCUAUACGAGCGGCCGAUGUCGGAUUAGCUAGUUGGUAGGGUAAAGGCCUACCAAGGCGACGAUCCGUAGCGGGUCUGAGAGGAUGAUCCGCCACACUGGGACUGAGACACGGCCCAGACUUCUACGGGAGGCAGCAGUGGGGAAUUUUGGACAAUGGGGGCAACCCUGAUCCAGCCAUGCCGCGUGAGUGAAGAAGGCCUUCGGGUUGUAAAGCUCUUUCGGCCGGGAAGAAAUCGCACAGGCUAAUACCCUGUGUGGAUGACGGUACCGGCAUAAGAAGCACCGGCUAACUACGUGCCAGCCGCCGCCGUAA